AUCUCUUGUGAUGAUUUGUAUUACCGCCCCAGUCUGAGAAUUCAUGACUGACUGGUACUGUACCUUCUGACUGCA